UGGGGAAUAUUGCACAAUGGGCGCAAGCCUGAUGCAGCGACGCCGCGUGAGGGAUGACGGCCUUCGGGUUGUAAACCUCUUUCAGCACAGACGAAGCGCAAGUGACGGUAUGUGCAGAAGAAGGACCGGCCAACUACGUGCCAGCAGCCGCGGUAAUACGUAGGGUCCGAGCGUUGUCCGGAAUUACUGGGCGUAAAGAGCUCGUAGGUGGUUUGUCGCGUUGUUCGUGAAAACUCACAGCUUAACUGUGGGCGUGCGGGCGAUACGGGCAGACUGGAGUACUGCAGGGGAGACUGGAAUUCCUGGUGUAGCGGUGGAAUGCGCAGAUAUCAGGAGGAACACCGGUGGCGAAGGCGGGUCUCUGGGCAGUAACUGACGCUGAGGAGCGAAAGCGUGGGGAGCGAACAGGAUUAGAUACCCUGGUAGUCCACGCCGUAAACGGUGGGUACUAGGUGUGGGUUUCCUUCCUUGGGAUCCGUGCCGUAGCUAACGCAUUAAGUACCCCGCCUGGGGAGUACGGCCGCAAGGCUG
rnacentral:rRNA from 1 species